rnacentral:lncRNA from 1 species
AGCAAUAGGCUAUAUCAUAUAGCCUAGGUGUGUGGUAAGCUAAACUAUCCAGGUUUCUGUGGGUACAGUCUAUGAUAUUUGCACAAUGACAAAAUCACCUACAUAUGCCAUUCUUAGAAUGUAUCUCUGUUGUUAAAUCACCUAUGCAUGCCAUUCUCAGAAUGUAUCUCUGUUGUUAAGUGACACAUGAGUAUAUACUAUUACAUCUUCCUUUGCAAUCUGGAUACUAACAGUUGUACUGUUUCUCAACUGUUGUGUCCUCAGCAUUGGGAGGAUGUUUUGAGCCAAAUAACUUGGGCCCAGCUUUCCAAAGUAAAACUAAUCUACUAACUGAAGAAACCUUAGGGCUGGAUAUUCAGCCCUUAAUUUGUAAAAGGAUAUUUGCAUAGCCCUUUGCUGGGUGAAGGAGAAGUAAGGGAAAGACUUCCAAAGGUCAGUUUCCCAGCCAGAUUACUGAGGAAUUCCAAUUGCUAAUGACCACAGGGUGGGCGACACAGUGGUACACUGGGUACACUGCCAGCUGACACUGGCCACACCUACACAGCAUCUCUGAAUGCAUGUGGUUAAAAUUUCCUGGUGAAUUUAGGAUCCAAAAAAGAAUUCUAGGUCUUCUGUCCAGGUAGAAGCAUCUAGUUCUGGCUUGUUGACUCUGUCCCUGCUUCAUCUUAUAUUUCUACCUCAUGCGCAUAUACAAUCAAAUGUGUUGAGUCUGGGAAGAGUAGAGAAAAGGUGGUACAAUGCCUGUCUCCCUAGGUGCAGUGGGUUAGCAGACCCUCUGGACAUGCGACCAGAUCAGAGACCAGGCCUAUGCGUCCACCAAAUAGGUGAUGGCGAUUGUUCAGGAUUUGUGCUCUGUGCUUGGUAUUUCAUCUUACUACAGAGGACAGACGAAAGAGCUGUGUAUUGGAGCCUGCAGAUGGAUGGGGAUGGAUAUGACAGUAGAUUUCUUCUUCUGAGAAUACACUUUCAACCUCUUGUUAACACAAUGGCAGUCUUUGCUCUUCACUUCCUGAGCUGACCCUGUGAGCAUUACCUAAUGCUUUCCUGAGCCUCUAGUUGCUUUGUAGUCAGUGAAGGAGAUGGCUUUCACCCUUAACGUCUCCAAAAGUAACUUUAGUUCCCAAAUACUUACUAAUUUGCAUUGGUUUCGGGUAGGCUGGACUCACACACCAUCUCUGCAGUGCAAUGCCAUGUUCACUUCUGAAAUCCCAAAACCCGAAAGGAUGGAUUCCCACUGAGACCUAUAGAGGAAAGCUGCUGAAGAGAAAGGACAGCAGAGAUACAAUUGCCUAUGUUGAGAGAUGCUCUUGAGUCCCAUAACAUACAACCUACCAGUUUUCUGCAACCCGAAAGCCCAGGGCUGGCACUAUAAUCUUAACUAGUCACUACAUAAGGCUUUUGUUUUUAUGAUGUCUAUCCAUAGUUAUAGUUCUUCAUUCCACAGAUGCGGAAAAACUGUGUUAUCCUUGAGAAUUUGAUAUCUCAGGACUGUGCAAUGUGGAUGUCCUCUGUCUCCCAGUAUGGUGUCCCACUCUGAUGGUAGACUGACAUCCAGCACCAUACAGCUGAGUUUACCCAGCCCAGGCAAAAACCUCAAAAAAUUGAAAAAAUAAAAUAAAAAUCAAAAUAAAAUAGUAGAGAAACAAUUUUUUUUUUAGGCAAAAAGUAUUAUCACCUAAAUUAACAACAGUCCUCAUCUUAUUCUCCACAGGAAAAAUAUCUAAACACAGGACCCUGCCUGCCCAGUGACUAAUCUUACUGACCCUCCUAGAUUUAACUAGGCUCACAGAUUCCUAAAAUUCUUCCAGUAUAAGAAGAGAUCAGCCUGCAGAAAUGCUUUAAAAUUGUUCCGAGGUUUAGAUACAAAAUUAAUCAGGUAAAGUGAGAGAAUGGAAGAUUUUAAGAGACAAUUCCUUCAGAUGAAAUAUUGGGCUGUGCAAAGGAGCUGCCUAAAACAUGACCUGCUUGAGGUGCUAGUGUUAUUUCAGCCUCAGUAGGAAGAUCUCAGAAGAUCUCACUUAUUAGCAUUUGCUAAAUGACAUUGACCUGCAGCAUAGGUGGGAGCAAAAAGAGGCAGUUUCACCUGGCUGCUAGCCCCAAUUCAAUAAGAAAUAUUUAUUACCAAACUGAAAUUCUUCUGAGAAAUCUCCUAAUCUGUAAUGUGGGAACAAUAACACCAGCUUGUGUACCUCACACAAGUUUCAGAAGAUAGAACAUGUUCAAGUGCUGUGCAUAUGUGUCCUAAUAAUUCACUGUAAUAAAAAUUGGGUCACCCCAUUCUAGAAAAGACACUCAUUUGCUGAUUUAUUUUAUAAGUAAAGGUCAGCUCUUCUACAAAUCCAUGUAGGAAUGUAGGAGAAAAAGAGAAACUAAUAUUUUGUAUUUCUGUUUCUUUCACUUCAAAUUGCAUUUUGUAACUAAUGUAAAAACUUUACAAGUGCUAUAAGAUCAUUGGGAAUAAACAAAAAAAUUCAGAGAUACCUCUUGUGGAAACUAAGCAAUGAUGAGCUCAUACUCUGUAGUUACCAGAGAGUCUCUCCCUUCAUUGUCUUGAACUAUUUCACAACUUUAUAAAUUGCAGGUAACUUAUAGCAAUGCAAAAUAAUUCUUGUUUAUUGAUAUACAAAUGAAUUAUGUGCAGUGACAUUUCUAGGGACUUCUCUCAAUCUGCACUGGGUUUAAUCCUGUUUCUGAAAACUUAGUAUCUACCUGGAAUCUCAGAAUGUGCUCUUAUUUGGAAAUAAAAUGAUGGCAAAUAUAAUUAAGUGAAAAUGAGGUCAUCCUGGAGUAAGGAGGUCCCUAAGUCCAAAGACUGUUUUUCUUAAUAAGAAGGCCAUGUAAAAAUGAGGGCAGACAUUGUAGUGACGCAACUUCAAGUAAAAAUACUAAAGACUACCGGCAAACAUCAGAAGUUAGGAGAGAUAGGAAACAGAUUUUUCUCAGAACUCACAGAGGAACCAACUUGGCAACACCUUGAUUUCAGAAUUCUAACCUCUAGGACUGUGAGACAAGAAAGUUUUUCUGUAUUAAGCCACCCGGUUUAUGGUGAUUUCCUAUAGCAGCUCUAGAUAAAAGCACAUUGACACCAUUUACAAAUUUCAUUUAUAUAAUUUCACCAUUCCUAUACUUCAUGUUAAAACUGAGCUUCAUUAACUUUUUUAAACUGCUUAUAACAUGUUACUGAUUUUUUCAUUUAUAAUUUAUUAAAUAAAUUUUAAUGUUUUAUGUUAAAUAAAAUUUUAAUAUGUAUUUUUUGUAUAUUUGUAUGAGCCAUGAUUUUAUCCAACCACAUUUGCAAAAAAUAUAACAAUGAGAAAAUUAUAACAGUAACAGAGAACUGAUCUAACCGUCUUGCCCUUAACCUACCUACUGCCCUUGUUCAUUCCUGGGCAUAAACUAACCUAACUUUGAGAAAAAUUUAGUCUAUAGUUUAAAGGAGAAUAGUCCUUCCCAAAACUAAAUCACCUUUGUAAAACAAUGAAAGACCACCAGGUUAGGACAAUGAGAGGGGCGUGAUCCUGCUAAGAUGUAGAUGUAGUUAAAUGAUUACUGGUCAUUAUUCUGGAGUUGCAAAUUCCCCAAUUACUCCUGUAAUUAACAUCACUUUUGUAGAACUUAAGACUGGCCUUUUGAUGUGUUUUUUCAAGUUUUGUCAUUUUUAACUACCAAAUGGCCCAACUAGACAGGCGACUCUAGACUCAGCCAGUCCUGUUUCUGCCUACCAGAAUUGAACUCAGCACAAGAGGACCACUUUCCACAUCCCUGUGAUUCCAUACCCAACCUAUCAGAAGCACCCAUUCCCUAGCCCCCACCUGCCAAACUGUCUUUGAUAAACCCUAGCCUCCAAGUUGAUAGGAAGGCUGAGUAAUAAUAAAACCCUAGGCUCCUAUUUAGCCAGCUCUAUGUGUAUUUAAUCUCUUCCUCUAUUGCAAUUCACCUACUGAAAAAUCAGCUGUCUCUGGGCUCUGGACAAAAUGAACCCAUUGGGUGGUUACAUCAAGAGUUGGAGGUUAAAAGAAAGAAAAAAGAGCAUCUCAGUGUUGUCAAAACUCAUUUUUGAAAAGAAACCCUUGUGAAGAAUAUUAAUGUAAAGUAGCUUUUUGAUUAUGUACUCUUCUGUUAUUCUGGAGAUCAGAUGCUGGUGUGUGUGUCCACUAUUUCCUGCUCUGGAUCCCUGAACUGUCUCUGACUCAUUCUUGGUCGGCUAAGUAUGAGGUCUCACUCUGUCAUGCAUGAUGGACUGCAGUGGUGCAAUCAUGGCUCACUGUAGCUUCGACCACCCUGGCUCCGGUCAUCAUCCUACCUCAGCCUCCCAGGUAUGUGGGAUUACAGUGGUGUCAGUCAUCAACCUUGUGAUCACUGAGGAAAAGAUACAAUAAUCCUUGCCUAUCCGUGAGUUCUGUCUAUAUGUAUUCAACCAAGUUUAGAUUGAAAAUAUUUUGGGGAAAAAUGGAAGGGUGCACCUGUACUGAACAUGUUCCAACAUUUUCUUGUCAUUGUUACUUAAAUAAUACAGUAUAACAACUAUUUACAUAGCAUUUACACUGCUUUAGUAAUUAUAAAUAAUCUAGGGAUGAUUUAUUUAGAUAGUCUAGGAAUGAUUUAAAUAAUCGAGGAUGGUGAUAUAUGGGAGGAUGUACAUAGGUUAUACAUAAAUACUACACCAUUUUAUAUCAGGGUCUCAAACAUUCAUGUACUUUGGUAUCCAACAGGGAUUCUGGAAUCAAUCCUCCACAGAUAGCAAGGGAUAACUGUAUUAGUUUUUCUUUUCUACACUGUUUAAUGGAUGCUGCACCCUUCCUACUCUAGGACCCAACCAGGAUCCUGAGCCCUCACUUUCUCCCUGCGUUCCUCAUGAUCCAUUUGACUAUAAUGCAGAAAGUUUGUUUAGCUACUGGCUGGUAUCUGUAACUCCUAUGACAGCUCACACUCCUUGAAGAAGAAGAGAGAAAACAGAAGACUUGUCCUGUGGAUAGAUUAUUUCUUCUUCUGUUUGUUUGUUCUUUGUAUGCUCUCGACAACAUCCACAUACACAAAUGCACAUACAUAAACACAGAAACUUUUUCUUAACAUGGACAAUCUGAAAGAGAAAGCAGCACAACAACCAUUUUGGAUGAUCGAGACUAUUUUUAUAUUAUUACAGUACAAUUGCAGAAUGAAUUCAAAAGGGCAAGCCCCUAGCAAUGAUAAUGCUAAAUGGCUGGUGGAUGUAAAUAAUUAGUGGUCAAUAUAUUAUCCAUGAUAUGUGGCAAGUUUGAAAGUUGGAAAUGCAGAAUCCCUGUUCUGGUCAUAUUAUUGUACUUGGAUCUGCUGGGAACCAUUUGAUACUCUGGGAUUCUCAUUGAGAAUCCAGUGAUAGCUAAUGUUGAAUAUUGCUUGCUGCUGGGCAACAGUGACUGUCAAAACAUUCCGUCACCACUUUUUUUUUUCAGUUUAGAAAAAGGGUCUUGGAUGUUGCCUAGGCUGGCCGGAAACUCCUGAAGUCAAGUGAUUCUCCUGUCUUUGCCUUUAGUUCUGGAAGUACUGGGAGUGAACCUCUGCACCAGGAUUUCCCUCACCAUUUUCUGUAAAAUGGCUUACUACAAAGAACAUUUCUGUAGUAUAUUUUUAUGUAUGUAUGUAUUAUGUAUUUAUUUAUUUAUUUAUUUUUGAGACAGAGUCACAA